GGAUUGAGGAUAAAAAAAGAAAGAGAAAAGAAAAAAAAGAAAAGAAAAAUGACAACAACGAAAACGACAAGAAACGAAGAAAAAAUUCUCUAGAAACUUGAUUCGGGAAGCCAGUACGCAAGUCAUUGAUCAAAUCCGUUACCACUCGGGCAUGCAGUGUGCUGGCCGGUACGUGUUCAUUCCUUCAGUUACUUUAUUCGCCAGAUGUUUAGAUCUAAUUGAGGGCAUGGUCAACAGGGCAAGAGUCCCAUGUAAAGACCAACCUAAAUAAGUAAGUAAUGAAUGUUUGUACUCUCGGACUCAAGAAUCCUAUUUGUCAUUUUCCAUGGGC